rnacentral:rRNA from 1 species
UACGAAGGGGGCUAGCGUUGCUCGGAAUCACUGGGCGUAAAGGGUGCGUAGGCGGGUCUUUAAGUCAGGGGUGAAAUCCUGGAGCUCAACUCCAGAACUGCCUUUGAUGCUGAAGAUCUUGAGUUCGGGAGAGGUGAGUGGAAUUCCCAGUGUAGAGGUGAAAUUCGUAGAUAUUGGGAAGAACACCAGUGGCGAAGGCGACUUACUGGACACAUAUUGACGCUGAGGUGCGAAAGCGUGGGGAGCAAACAGG